rnacentral:tRNA from 1 species
CGGGAAGUAGCUCAGCUUGGUAGAGCACAUGGUUUGGGACCAUGGGGUCGCAGGUUCGAAUCCUGUCUUCCCGACCU